UGCCCAGGGAAGGUGGGGUGGACAAGCAAUGAACCUCCAGUUGCCCAAUGGAUCUUGCUGAGAAUAUUUUUAGAAAUCUGAGAUAUGAAGUUUUAACAGUUUACAUCAACGGAGGCUGCUGAUGGUCACUUGUUUCUCUGUGAGAGCAGGUGACAGCAGCGAGCAACGGAGCUAAGAGGAAGGAGAGAGAGAGAAAGAGAGAGAGGAAAUCCAGCCAACAAGAGCCGUCUGUGUCAAUCCUGGCAAACGGGAGGUGGUCCUCCUUGAAAACUCCAGUGGCUCCCUCUGCCAGGCAGCAAAGGCCAUUCAGGCCAUUCUGGACUCCGAGGCUGGUGGAAAUUUCAGAUACUCCUCAUGCUCACAAAGGAGAACUUUGCCACCUUAGUGAGGCACAGCAACAACUCAGAGUGCUCUGGAGAGUCUCUGCUCCCUCUGGAUGCUGGACAGACAGACUCUCAGCAGAUCUCCAGUCCCUUUUGGACUAAACCAAGAGAAUGUGAAGCAUUUCUCCUUCCUCUCAUCUCUGCUCAACACAGAAGACUUUAUACUUAAUUCUCAUUGGGGGAAUUUUUUUGGUGAUGGAAAAUGUUGUCAAUUAUAUUUUGCCAAGAGGGAAAAACAAAGCCUGAAAAGACUAAUAGCAAAUACAAGAUUGCUUUCAAAUUUUUGGGUUUUGAUUUUUUUUUUAAUAAAAACCUGCAAAUGUUCCAUCUGUUUUCAUCAAAUUUUGUGCAAGAGGCAAAUAAUGUUUGGAUCAUUGCUUUUGGCUUGAUUUCUCCAUCCUCCUGCUCCAGAACAUGGCAG